rnacentral:rRNA from 1 species
GACGAACGCUGGCGGCGUGCCUAAUACAUGCAAGUUGAGCGCUGAAGGUUGGUACUUGUACCAACUGGAUGAGCAGCGAACGGGUGAGUAACGCGUGGGGAAUCUGCCUUUGAGCGGGGGACAACAUUUGGAAACGAAUGCUAAUACCGCAUAAAAACUUUAAACACAAGUUUUAAGUUUGAAAGAUGCAAUUGCAUCACUCAAAGAUGAUCCCGCGUUGUAUUAGCUAGUUGGUGAGGUAAAGGCUCACCAAGGCGAUGAUACAUAGCCGACCUGAGAGGGUGGACGGCCACAUUGGGACUGAGACACGGCCCAAACUCCUACGGGAGGCAGCAGGAGGGAAUCUUCGGCAAUGGACGAAAGGCUGACCGAGCAACGCCGCGUGAGGGAAGAAGGGUUUCGGAUCGUAAAACUCUGUUGGUAGAGAAGAACGUUGGUGAGAGUGGAAAGCUCAUCAAGUGACGGUAACUACCCAGAAAGGGACGGCUAACUACGUG